rnacentral:rRNA from 1 species
GACGAACGCUGGCGGCGUGCCUAACACAUGCAAGUCGAGCGGAAAGGCCCUUCGCGUUAUUCUAGCGCCGAACGGGUGAGUAACACGUGAGUAACCUGCUCCAGACUUUGUGAUAAUCCUCGGAAACGGGGGCUAAUACCGUAUACGACACUGCUUCGCAUGGGCUCUGGGUGCAAAGUUUUUCGGUUUGGGUUAGGUUCGUUGCCUAUCAGCUUGUUAGUGAGGUGCUGGCUUACCAAGGCGACGAUUGAUAGCCGGCCUGUGAGGGGGACCGGCCACAAGAGGACUGAGGCACGGACCAGACGCCUACGGGAGGCAGAAGUGGAAAGUAUUGCAGAGUGGGCGGAAGCGAGAUGCAGCGACGCCGCGUGAGGAAUGACGGCCUUCGGGUUGUAAACAACUGUCAGAGGAGACGAGGAGUAAGUGACGGUACCUGCAGAGGAAGCGCCGGCCAACUACGUG